rnacentral:rRNA from 1 species
UACGAAGGGGGCGAGCGUUAUUCGGAAUCACUGGGCGUAAAGCGUGCGUAGGCUGUUUUGUAAGUCAGGAGUGAAAGCCCAGGGCUCAACCUUGGAAUUGCUUUUGAAACUACAAGACUUGAAUUCGGGAGAGGAUAGCGGAAUUGUCAGUGUAGCAGUGAAAUGCGUAGAUAUUGACAGGAACACCAGUGGCGCAAGCGGCUAUCUGGACCGAUAUUGACGCUGAGGCACGAAAGCGUGGGGAGCAAACAGG